ensembl:snRNA U6 U6 spliceosomal RNA
CUGCUCACUUGGGAAGCAUGUGUACUAAAAUUGGAAUGAUGCAGAGAAAAUUAGCAUGGCCCCUGAGCAAGUAUAACAUGCAAAUUCAUGAAGCAUUCUGUAUUUUU